CUGACAUGUGUGGAAACCUGGGACUAGACAGCCAAUGUUUUAUAACUGCAGCUUUUUAUUUUUUAAUUGCCUUGUGUUUUUAACUUCUUGCUUUCUCUGAACUGUCUGCCAGACUUGACCAAAGAGUGCCUUUGGCUACACGGAUUGUUUCUGUUGUCGAAUCAUUCCUUCCUUUGAGUUCAUUGCCAGACUGGAUGUAAGAGAAGUGAAUCUGUGCAGACGCUGACGUCAGGAUCAGGUUUAUGCGAGUGAUUCUGUUUCGUCUGUGUGUCUAUGGUGUGUGGUACUACAUGUAUACACUGGGAACUCCAUUUUUUGUCCAAAUUGCUUUUUUAUAACCAAAAUAAAUUGUAUAAAUGAACUAACGGUGAGAUGAUUUUAAAUUAUGCCAAAUAAAAGUUGAGACUCU